rnacentral:lncRNA from 1 species
AAACUUCAGAGAGAUUCACAAUUGAAGAGAGAGAGUGAAAAGUAAAAAUGAAAUUCACUCUCCUCUAUUAUAUAGAUCAAGCCAGGAAAGUGAAGAGACGCUUUGAUCCAAUGGUCCUUACACUCCCUCGUAAAAAUCAAAGCAGUAAAUGCGCCCUUUCGCAUUCCCAGCAAUAAAGCCUCCUCGUUACUAACCUCCUCGUCACAGUAACG